rnacentral:lncRNA from 1 species
GCGGGGAUGAGUUUGGGUGGAAAGAUUGGACAGGUUCUGAAUUGGGUGAUGCGAAAAGGAGGGGCAUUAGGAUGAGAGAUGGAAACAAGGGUAACCAUAGCAAGCACUUCAUAGUAGUUUACUGCGAAAGAAUGGGAGGGGAUGGGAGGGUUAGUGGGGGUGGGGAAGGAUGCGUGACAUUAAAGAGUGGAGCUUUGGGGCGGGGAAGGGAAGUAGAAGUGAUAGCUUUAUUGGGUGGUGCGUCGGAGAAAAGGAAAUUCGGGACUAGUGAUGCCAUAUCCAAUUAUUUGAUCACAAUGUUCACAAAAUAUUUUAACUACAUUUACACGAUCAUUUCAUUUUACAUCAAUUUUGUACAUUAAUAAACGUUUUAUAACAUUUAUUUAUAAAUUCAGCAUGAUUAUUUA